GGUUAAGUGACUAAGCGUACAUGGUGGAUGCCUUGGCAGUCAGAGGCGAUGAAGGACGUACUAACCUGCGAUAAGCUGUGAGAAGUCGGUAAGAGACGCUAUUACUCACAGAUUUCCGAAUGGGGAAACCCACCCAAGAUAACUUGGGUAUCGUUACAUGAAUACAUAGUGUAACGAGGCGAACCGGGAGAACUGAAACAUCUAAGUACCCCGAGGAAAAGAAAUCAACCGAGAUUCCCUCAGUAGCGGCGAGCGAACGGGGAUUAGCCCUUAAGCAUCUUGGAAGUUAGUGGAACGGUCCUGGAAAGGCCGGCGAUACAGGGUGAUAGCCCCGUACACGAAAACAACCUUGAUGUGAAAUCGAGUAGGGCGGGACACGUGACAUCCUGUCUGAAUAUGGGGGGACCAUCCUCCAAGGCUAAAUACUCCUGACUGACCGAUAGUGAACCAGUACCGUGAGGGAAAGGCGAAAAGAACCCCUGUGAGGGGAGUGAAAUAGAACCUGAAACCGUGUACGUACAAGCAGUGGGAGCCCUUCGGGGUGACUGCGUACCUUUUGUAUAAUGGGUCAGCGACUUACAUUUUGUAGCGAGGUUAACCGUAUAGGGGAGCCGUAGGGAAACCGAGUCUUAACUGGGCGUCUAGUUGCAAGGUGUAGACCCGAAACCGGGUGAUCUAGCCAUGGGCAGGUUGAAGGUUGAGUAACAUCAACUGGAGGACCGAACCCACUAACGUUGCAAAGUUAGGGGAUGACCUGUGGCUGGGGGUGAAAGGCCAAUCAAACUCGGAGAUAGCUGGUUCUCCCCGAAAGCUAUUUAGGUAGCGCCUCGGACGAAUACUACUGGGGGUAGAGCACUGUUUGGGCUAGGGGGUCAUCCGACUUACCAACCCCAUGCAAACUCCGAAUACCAGUAAGUAAUAUCCGGGAGACACACGGCGGGUGCUAACGUCCGUCGUGAAGAGGGAAACAACCCAGACCGCCGGCUAAGGUCCCAAAGUUCUGGUUAAGUGGGAAACGAUGUGGGAAGGCUCAGACAGCUAGGAUGUUGGCUUAGAAGCAGCCAUCAUUUAAAGAAAGCGUAAUAGCUCACUAGUCGAGUCGGCCUGCGCGGAAGAUGUAACGGGGCUCAAACCAGGCACCGAAGCCGCGGAUUCACACUUAUGUGUGAGUGGUAGGGGAGCGUUCUGUAAGUCUGCGAAGGUGUAUCGAGAGGUAUGCUGGAGAUAUCAGAAGUGCGAAUGCUGACGUAAGUAACGAUAAAGGGGGUGAAAAGCCUCCUCGCCGGAAGACCAAGGGUUCCUGUCCAACGUUAAUCGGGGCAGGGUGAGUCGACCCCUAAGGCGAGGCCGAAAGGCGUAGUCGAUGGGAAGCAGGUUAAUAUUCCUGCACGACUUGUAAUUGCGAUGGGGGGACGGAGAAGGCUAGGUGGGCCAGGCGACGGUUGUCCUGGUGAAAGUGCGUAGGUGGUGUUUCUAGGCAAAUCCGGAGACACAACACUGAGACACGAGACGAACACACUACGGUGUGGAAGCCAUUGAUGCCCUGCUUCCAGGAAAAGCCUCUAAGCUUCAGAUUACAAGUCAUCGUACCCCAAACCGACACAGGUGGUCGGGUAGAGAAUACCAAGGCGCUUGAGAGAACUCGGGUGAAGGAACUAGGCAAAAUAGAACCGUAACUUCGGGAGAAGGUUCGCUCUUGAUGGUGAAGUCCCUUGCGGAUGGAGCUGUCGGGAGUCGCAGUGACCAGAUGGCUGGGACUGUUUAUCAAAAACACAGCACUCUGCAAACACGAAAGUGGACGUAUAGGGUGUGACACCUGCCCGGUGCCGGAAGGUUAAUUGAUGGGGUUAGCGCAAGCGAAGCUCUUGAUCGAAGCCCCGGUAAACGGCGGCCGUAACUAUAACGGUCCUAAGGUAGCGAAAUUCCUUGUCGGGUAAGUUCCGACCUGCACGAAUGGUGUAACCAUGGCCAUGCUGUCUCCACCCGAGACUCAGUGAAAUCGAAUUCGCCGUGAAGAUGCGGUGUACCCGCGGCUAGACGGAAAGACCCCGUGAACCUUUACUACAGCUUGGCACUGAACAUUGAACCUACAUGUGUAGGAUAGGUGGGAGGCUUUGAAGGCGUGACGCCAGUUGCGCUGGAGCCGUCCUUGAAAUACCACCCUUGUAUGUUUGAUGUUCUAACGCAGGGCCCUGAAUCGGGCUCGCGGACAGUGCCUGGUGGGUAGUUUGACUGGGGCGGUCUCCUCCCAAAGAGUAACGGAGGAGCACGAAGGUUGGCUAAUCCUGGUCGGACAUCAGGAGGUUAGUGCAAUGGCAUAAGCCAGCUUAACUGCGAGACGGACAGGUCGAGCAGGUACGAAAGUAGGUCAUAGUGAUCCGGUGGUUCUGAAUGGAAGGGCCAUCGCUCAACGGAUAAAAGGUACUCCGGGGAUAACAGGCUGAUACCGCCCAAGAGUUCAUAUCGACGGCGGUGUUUGGCACCUCGAUGUCGGCUCAUCACAUCCUGGGGCUGAAGUCGGUCCCAAGGGUAUGGCUGUUCGCCAUUUAAAGUGGUACGCGAGCUGGGUUCAGAACGUCGUGAGACAGUUCGGUCCCUAUCUGCCGUGGGCGUUGGAUGAUUGAAGGGAGUUGCUCCUAGUACGAGAGGACCGGAGUGAACGAACCUCUGGUGUUCGGGUUGUCACGCCAGUGGCACUGCCCGGUAGCUAAGUUCGGAAUCGAUAACCGCUGAAAGCAUCUAAGCGGGAAGCGAGCCCUGAGAUGAGUCAUCCCUGACCCCUUGAGGGUCCUAAAGGGCCGUUGGAGACCACAACGUUGAUAGGUGGGGUGUGUAAGCGCGGUGACGUGUUGAGCUAACCCAUACUAAUUACCCGUGAGGCUUAACCAU
rnacentral:rRNA from 1 species